rnacentral:ncRNA from 1 species
UAAUAACUGCCACCGGGUAGUGAAUGUUUUGCAUUUGUUUUCACAUCAUUAGGUCUAAGAAGAUGUGAUCACGGAUGCAUUUUUUUC